CACACAUUCUGCUCACAUAAGUGUUAAUGGCACAUUUGUAUUGAUUGGAUAGGACCAUGUAUUGGAAUGAAUUUUUUGUGAAUUAUGUUAAUUUUAAUCCACAACUUAAAAUGUCAACAGCAUACUUGUUUGGGUAAAGAGUUAAUUAUGCUGUUUUUUAAAAAAAUGUGUGCACAUAUCCUUUGUUGCAUGGAAAAAGUCUCAUCUUAUGUAACAUGACAAACAAUCCUCUGCUUGCCUCCAUCAAUCACUGUUGCACUGCAACCAUACUCUUUCUACAGAAGUGUCUUCUGGCCUAACUAGACAUAUGCCUACUUUUUCUUUUGGUCGUGUAUGUACUGUAGCUUGUUCGAUUGUGGACAACUCUGACCUUUGGCUAUGUUCUGUUCCCAUGCAGAAAAAAUGGUUUUUACCAGAUUACAUGCCUGAUUCAUCGGCUAGGCAAAGGAAGGUAGAAAGUCCAGGCGAAGAAGAUAAAUUUACCUACAUUGCUGUGAUGAUGAAGAUAAAUUUACCUACAUUGCUGUGCUGUUGUACAUGGAAACAGGGAAUGGGGCAAAUGCUUGCAUACUUCCCCCUGUUUUUGGAGC
rnacentral:lncRNA from 1 species